GUGCGCUUGGCGCAGUGGUAGCGCGUCUCCCUCCUAAUUAGGAACAUCUAGCAUGGCGUAAUUCGGGCGGAGGGCGUUUUACUGCCCGUACGUCUGAAGAAUCGCAAGGAGAAAGUCGUGGGUUCGACCCCCACAGUGCAUA